rnacentral:rRNA from 1 species
AUACGGAGGGUCCGAGCGUUAUCCGGAAUCAUUGGGUUUAAAGGGUCCGUAGGCGGGAAUCUAAGUCAGUGGUGAAAUCUUGCAGCUCAACUGUAAAAUUGCCAUUGAUACUGGAUUUCUUGAAUUAGUGUGAAGUGGUUAGAAUGUGUAGUGUAGCGGUGAAAUGCAUAGAUAUUACACAGAAUACCAAUUGCGAAGGCAGAUCACUAACACUAUAUUGACGCUGAGGGACGAAAGCGUGGGGAGCGAACAGUAUUAGAGACCCCAGUAGUCC